rnacentral:lncRNA from 10 species
CUUUGGGUCCGCCCGUUUCUCUAAUCAAGUUGUAACACUCGCUGCUGUGGUCCACAGCUUCAUUCCUUGAAGCCCGUGAGACACGAACGCUUCCAUUGAGAAAAACCUUCCAUCAGAAGAAGACUUCUCGUCUCAGUGGGACUGCUGAGUUGAAUGAGACGAGGUUUCACCAUGUUACCCAAGCUGAUCUCGAACUCCUGGGUUCAUGCGAUCCACCUGACUCAGCCUCACAAAGUGGUAGGACUACAGAAAAUGAACAGGACUAUUCUUCCUCAAACAAAGAGAUCGUGUGAUGAAGACUCACCAGAGCUGUUCUCUAUAAGCUUGAAGAGCAAUGGUAUCAGGUGCUUUUUUUUCUGAAGCUUUGGUAGUGUAACUGUAAGAGUCCUGGAAUUGGAAAAGCAAAUCCAGAAGUUGAGUUCCAUGACUUUUUUGCUGUUUGCCUUUGGACUUGCAUCAUUUAUAUUUUUAAUUCAUCGAGGAUGAGAAAAUUGAUUAACACAAAAUCUUUUCAUGUCUUUUCUGAUGAGAGACUAGCUGAAUCCAAGAAGAGAAGCCCUUGAAGAGUGUAUUCUAUUCUAGACAAGCAUUCACACAUUGGCUUCUUUGGUGCCAGGUAAUUAGAAUUUGUAAUUUGGUCUUAAUUAAACUGCAGACUACCCAAAGGCCUUGAUCAGUGGCCUUUU